GAGCUGAUUAUAGACCUACUAUAUAAGAGGCCAAGACCGGAACAUCUGAAUUAAAAUAACGAUUGUUCCCUAAUACAAUACAUAGCCUAUUGCAUAUUAUGCACUUUAAUGAUUUAAGAUGUCUUUGGUACAUAAUUUGGUCUAUCCUAUUCUCCUACAUUAAAACACACACUAGUAACGGCCUUUGAAUGUGGACUGUAUUAUUAUGCAUACUGGGUGGACUGGUUAAAUGUAUAGGCUUAGGUCAUGUUGCUGCUUCAUUGAUUGUGCAAGGUGGCUUACAAUAAUUAUUACUUACUUAUAAUUAUUGUGAAUUUGUAUUUGAUUUUUAAUUAGCCUGGUAAAAAAAAGGGCUUUUUUUUUUAAUACUUUCAUAAUUAAUCGGCUGACACAUUACCUUUAAUAACUGGAGAAUAUAUCUCACCACUGUGUUUUUCCCAUCUCCUCUCUUCUUCAUUCCUUUCUCAAGGAUGUAGAGAGAGAGAGGUGCUGUCACCAGCUUCAUCCACUAUGUUUCGUUGGUUGGAGGGCCCAUACAGAGUACUGGGUAGCUGCAGGAACAAGGUUGGAGAGCCCAUACAGAGUACUGGGUAGCUGCAGGAACAAGGUUGGAGAGCCCAUACAGAGUACUGGGUAGCUGCAGGAACAAGGUUGGAGAGCCCAUACAGAAUACUGGGUAGCUGCAGGAACAAGGUAGGAGGGCCCAUACAGAGUACUGGGUAGAUGUAGGAUCAGGGUAGGAGAGCCCAUGGCAUACAGAGUACUGGGUAGAUAAACAGGGUAGAAGGGCCCAUGGCAUACAGAGUACUGGGUAGCUGCAGGAACAAGGUUGGAAGAGCCCAUGGCAUACAGAGUACUGGGUAGCUGCAGGAACAAGGUAGGAGGGCCCAUGGCAUACAGAGUACUGGGUAGCUGCAGGAACAAGGUAGGAGGGCCCAUACAGAGUACUGGGUAGAUGUAGGAUCAGGGUAGGAGAGCCCAUGGCAUACAGAGUACUGGGUAGAUGAACAGGGUAGGAGAACCCAUGGCAUACAGAGUACUGGGUAGAUGAACAGGGUAGGACGGCCCAUGGCAUACAGAGUACUGGGUAGAUGAACAGGGUAGGAGAACCCAUGGCAUACAGAGUACUGGGUAGCUGCAGGAACAGGGUAGGAGAGCCCAUGGCAUACAGAGUACUGGGUAGAUGGACAGGGUAGGAGAACCCAUGGCAUACAGAGUACUGGGUAGAUGAACAAGGUAGGAGAACCCAUGGCAUACAGAGUACUGGGUAGAUGCACUAACAAGGUAGGAGAGCCCAUACAGAGUACUGGGUAGCUGCAGGGUAGGAGAGCCCAUGGCAUACAGAGUACUGGGUAGCUGCAGGAACAGGGUAGCAGUGCCCAUACAGAGUACUGGGUAGAUGCAGGAACAGGGUAGGAGAGCACAUGGCAUACAGAGUACUGGGUAGCUGCAGGAACAAGGUAGGAGCGCCCAUGACAUACAGAGUACUGGGUAGAUGAACAGGGUAGGAG
rnacentral:lncRNA from 1 species